rnacentral:hammerhead_ribozyme from 1 species
GCACUACUGAGGAGUCCCAUACUAGGACGAAAUGACCAUCCAGUGC